UACGUAGGGGGCGAGCGUUGUCCGGAUUUAUUGGGCGUAAAAGGCUUGUAGGUGGCCACGCCAAGUCGGAUGUGAAAUCUCCCGGCUCAACUGGGAGGGGUCAUUCGAUACUGGCGGGCUCGAGGCAGGUAGGGGGAAGCGGAAUUCCCGGUGUAGUGGUGGAAUGCGUAGAUAUCGGGAGGAACACCAGUGGCGAAGGCGGCUUCCUGGACCUGUUCUGACACUGAGGAGCGAAAGCGUGGGGAGCGAUCCGG
rnacentral:rRNA from 1 species